UGGGGGAUAUUGCACAAUGGGGGGAACCCUGAUGCAGCAACGCCGCGUGGGUGAAGGAGUACCCCGGUACGUAAAGCCCUAUCGGCAGGGAAGAAGAUGACGGUACCUGACUAAGAAGCCCCGGCUAACUACGUGCCAGCAGCCGCGGUAAUACGUAGGGGGCAAGCGUUAUCCGGAUUUACUGGGUGUAAAGGGAGCGCAGACGGCAGUGCAAGUCUGGAGUGAAAGCCCGGGGCUCAACCCCGGGACUGCUUUGGAAACUGCAUAGCUGGAGUGCUGGAGAGGCAAGCGGAAUUCCUAGUG
rnacentral:rRNA from 1 species